CAAGUGAAUCCUCACUUUGGGCUCUGCUUCUAGACCCUGACUUAAGAUACAAAGGAAGGAGAAAUGAACCAUGAACAAUUCCAGAGAUUUUGAGACAUGGCAAUUGGACUUUCUGUCAGGGUAAACAUCACAGGAAUAUUCAUUUAGCAAAACUUACUGUGAGCUUGGUUGGACCAUAUAUUAUGGGAGCACCUUUUGCAAGGAUGAAAUACUCC
rnacentral:lncRNA from 1 species